rnacentral:rRNA from 1 species
UGCCAGACUCCUACGGGAGGCAGCAGUGGGGAAUAUUGCACAAUGGGGGAAACCCUGAUGCAGCGACGCCGCGUGAGUGAAGAAGUAUUUCGGUAUGUAAAGCUCUAUCAGCAGGGAAGAAAAUGACGGUACCUGACUAAGAAGCCCCGGCUAACUACGUGCCAGCAGCCGCGGUAAUACGUAGGGGGCAAGCGUUAUCCGGAUUUACUGGGUGUAAAGGGAGCGUAGACGGCAUGGCAAGUCAGAUGUGAAAGCCCGGGGCUCAACCCCGGGACUGCAUUUGGAACUGUGUGGCUGGAGUGUCGGAGAGGCAGGCGGAAUUCCUAGUGUAGCGGUGAAAUGCGUAGAUAUUAGGAGGAACACCAGUGGCGAAGGCGGCCUGCUGGGCGAUGACUGACGUUGAGGCUCGAAAGCGUGGGGAGUAAACAGGAUUAGAUACCCCAGUAC